rnacentral:pre_miRNA from 1 species
AAUAGAUGACACCGUUGAUUUUUUCUCACAUGUUUGACCAUUUGUCUUAUUCAAAAAAUUUACAUAAUUAUAAUUUAUUUUGCUAUAAGUUGUUUUAUCACUCAUAGUACUUAAAGUGUAAUUUAUAUCUUAUACAUUUGCAUAAAAUUUUUGAAUAAGACGAAUGGUCAAACAUGUGAGAAAAAAUCAACGGCGUCAACUAUU